GUGAGGUAACGGCUCACCAAGGCGAUGACGGGUAGCUGGUUUCAGCGGAUGGCCAGCCACACGGGGACUGAAACACGGCCCCGACUCCUACGGGAGGCAGCAGUGGGGAAUCUUGGACAAUGGGCGAAAGCCUGAUCCAGCGACGCCGCGUGCGGGAGGAAGCCCUUCGGGGUGUAAACCGCUGUCAGGGGGGAAGAACCCGGUUCGGGCGAACAGUCCGGAUCGCUGACGGUACCCCCAGAGGAAGCGCCGGCUAACUCCGUGCCAGCAGCCGCGGUAAUACGGAGGGCGCGAGCGUUGUCCGGAAUUACUGGGCGUAAAGGGGGCGCAGGCGGCCCGGUCAAGUCCUAUGUGAAAGCCCACGGCUCAACCGUGGAAUGCCAUGGGAUACUGCCGGGCUAGAGACGGGUACAGGCGAGCGGAAUUCCCGGUGUAGCGGUGGAAUGCGUACAUAUCGGGAAUAACACCAGUGGCGAAGGCGGCUCGCUGGGCCCGUUCUGACUCUCAAGCCCUAAAGCGUGCGGAGCAAACAGGAUUACAUACCCUGGUAGUCCACGCCGUGACGAUGGGCACUAGGUGCUGGGAAGUGUGACCUUUUCGGUGCCGCAGCUAACGCGUUAAGUG
rnacentral:rRNA from 1 species